AUUGAACGCUGGCGGCAGGCCUAACACAUGCAAGUCGAACGGUAACAGGAAGAAGCUUGCUUCUUUGCUGACGAGUGGCGGACGGGUGAGUAAUGUCUGGGAAACUGCCUGAUGGAGGGGGAUAACUACUGGAAACGGAAGCUAAUACCGCAUAACGUCGCAAGACCAAAGAGGGGGACCUUCGGGCCUCUUGCCAUCGGAUGUGCCCAGAUGGGAUUAGCUAGUAGGUGGGGUAACGGCUCACCUAGGCGACGAUCCCUAGCUGGUCUGAGAGGAUGACCAGCCACACUGGAACUGAGACACGGUCCAGACUCCUACGGGAGGCAGCAGUGGGGAAUAUUGCACAAUGGGCGCAAGCCUGAUGCAGCCAUGCCGCGUGUAUGAAGAAGGCCUUCGGGUUGUAAAGUACUUUCAGCGGGGAGGAAGGGAGUAAAGUUAAUACCUUUGCUCAUUGACGUUACCCGCAGAAGAAGCACCGGCUAACUCCGUG
rnacentral:rRNA from 1 species